AGCGAACGCUGGCGGCAGGCCUAACACAUGCAAGUCGAGCGCCCCGCAAGGGGAGCGGCAGACGGGAGAGUAACACGUGGGAACGUACCCUUCAGUUCGGAACAACCAAGGGAAACUUUGGCUAAUACCGAAUACGUCCGUAAGGAGAAAGAUUUAUCGCUGAAGGAUCGGCCCGCGUCUGAUUAGCUAGUUGGUGGGGUAAUGGCCCACCAAGGCGACGAUCAGUAGCUGGUCUGAGAGGAUGAUCAGCCUCACUGGGACUGAGACACGGCCCAGACUCCUACGGGAGGCAGCAGUGGGGAAUAUUGGACAAUGGGCGCAAGCCUGAUCCAGCCAUGCCGCGUGGAUGAUGAAGGCCUUAGGGUUGUAAAGUCCUUUCGGCGGGGAAGAUAAUGACGGUACCCGCAGAAGAAGCCCCGGCUAACUUCGUGCCAGCCGCCGCGGUAAUAC
rnacentral:rRNA from 1 species